rnacentral:rRNA from 1 species
GUACACUCCUGCGGGAGGCAGCAGUGGGGAAUUUUGGACAAUGGGCGAAAGCCUGAUCCAGCAAUGCCGCGUGAGUGAAGAAGGCCUUCGGGUUGUAAAGCUCUUUUGUCAGGGAAGAAACGGUGAAAGCUAAUAUCUUUUGCUAAUGACGGUACCUGAAGAAUAAGCACCGGCUAACUACGUGCCAGCAGCCGCGGUAAUACGUAGGGUGCAAGCGUUAAUCGGAAUUACUGGGCGUAAAGCGUGCGCAGGCGGUUUUGUAAGUCUGAUGUGAAAUCCCCGGGCUCAACCUGGGAAUUGCAUUGGAGACUGCAAGGCUAGAAUCUGGCAGAGGGGGGUAGAAUUCCACGUGUAGCAGUGAAAUGCGUAGAUAUGUGGAGGAACACCGAUGGCGAAGGCAGCCCCCUGGGUCAAGAUUGACGCUCAUGCACGAAAGCGUGGGGAGCAAACAGGAUUAGAUACCCCUGUAGUCCCAUGAU